CCGCUCUGUUACUCACAAUAACAGUACACCCAUGCUGUUCACACCACAUGACGCCUUUUUCGUCUUGUUGUCUAUCGCUGCCAGUAUAAGUCUGCGGUGCCAUGUCAUCAGUUUCUCUAAUUGUCCUGUGUUUAUGCUGUUUGUUCCAUUAUGAUGUCACACCGAAGAGCCCCACUAACAACAAUGACGCAUUUCC
rnacentral:lncRNA from 1 species